AUGUGUUCCCUGGACUUUGGAUUUCCCAGCCUCCAAAAUUUGUUCCAGCAGAGCAACUGGGGAACCUAAUUCUGACCAACAAGGAAGAAUUGCUUGGCUAAUUGGAAGUGACAGAAACCUUGGGAGAAAACAACCACAUACCAAGGAUAAUUAUAAGAAAGUAACAUGGACCCUAAAGGAUAGUGUCAAGAAACCUGAAGCCACCAAAUGAGACAGAAGACACAGAGAAGAGGAGGAAGCAGUGUGACCAUGGAGGCAGAGACUGGAGUAAUGUGGCCACAAAUCAAGGAAUGUGAAAGCCUCCAGAAGCUGCAGGAGGCUGUGAACAACUUCUUCCUUAGAUCCUACAGAGGAAGUACAGCCGUGCUGACACCUUGAUUUCAGAUUUCUGGCCUUAGAACUGCAUCCCCUUGGAAUGCAGUGUUUAUGGAAAACAGUAUGGUUGUUUCUCAAACAACUACAACUAGGACUACCAUAUGAUCCAGCAAUCUCACUACU